UAAGUAUUGUUUUUAUACUUUCUAGAUUUAUAUUAUUAGUUAUUUGGUUCCCCAGUCUGUUUUCUUACCAUAUUCUCUAUUACUAAGAAUUUCCCAGAGGCUGAGCAUGGCUGAAGAGGUAAUGAAUUUGCCUACAUGGCAGAAGCCUAGUUUCAAUCCCCAGUACUGCUACCCCCCCAAAAAAAUCCAAACAAAGAAAAUGUUGCAGUAAGUCAGUAUUACCAAAUUUGAAGAUAAAAUACACCUUAGUCUUGUAAAAAACAUCCUUAUAGGGUUUCUUGAAUUUAUAAUGAGUGAUUUAAUGACUUUUCCUUAUUUGAGAUUUAAAAAUUUUAAUAAAAUUUGUGCAAAACAAUUUUCUUCCUUU